UUGCAUUCUCUUGGGCAGCAAAUACACUACAAUUGAAAUGGUACAGAGAAGAUUAGAAUGGUCCCUAUACAAGGACAUCACACAAAUGCAUGGAACAUUCCAUGUUUAA
rfam:Tupaia chinensis contig28181, whole genome shotgun sequence.